rnacentral:rRNA from 1 species
UACGUAGGUGGCAAGCGUUGUCCGGAUUUACUGGGCGUAAAGGGCGUGCAGGCGGUUUGUUAAGUGCAGGGGGAAAGCUCCCGGCUCAACUGGGAGAGGUCCUUGCAUACUGGCGAACUUGAGGGAUGCAGAGGAAAGUGGAAUUCCUGGUGUAGCGGUGAAAUGCGCAGAUAUCAGGAAGAACACCCGUGGCUAAGGCGGUUCUCUAGUACGGUACUGACGCUGAGACGCGAAAGCGUGGGGAGCGAACAGG